rnacentral:rRNA from 1 species
GAUGAACGCUAGCUACAGGCUUAACACAUGCAAGUCGAGGGGCAGCAUGAACUUAGCUUGCUAAGUUUGAUGGCGACCGGCGCACGGGUGAGUAACACGUAUCCAACCUGCCGAUGACUCGGGGAUAGCCUUUCGAAAGAAAGAUUAAUACCCGAUGGCAUAGUUCUUCCGCAUGGUAGAACUAUUAAAGGAUUUCGGUCAUCGAUGGGGAUGCGUUCCAUUAGGUUGUUGGCGGGGUAACGGCCCACCAAGCCUUCGAUGGAUAGGGGUUCUGAGAGGAAGGUCCCCCCACAUUGGAACUGAGACACGGUCCAAACUCCUACGGGAGGCAGCAGUGAGGAAUAUUGGUCAAUGGACGAGAGUCUGAACCAGCCAAGUAGCGUGAAGGAUGACUGCCCUAUGGGUUGUAAACUUCUUUUAUACGGGAAUAAAGUGAGGCACGUGUGCCUUUUUGUAUGUACCGUAUGAAUAAGAUCGGCUAACUCCGUGCCAGCAGCCGCGGU